UAACAUUUCAUUGCGUGACAUGUGUUGGAACACUUGGAAUUAAAUAUUUUGAGAUUAAUGUCUGAGGUGAUGUCAUGUUAUGGGAGGAACACGUCACGGAAACUUGCCUGGGGCGUAGAAUAUAUCAAACUUUGGAUUAUUGAUGAGUUGAAGGCGGUUUGGGUAGUGUACAGGUGCUAAAUAACGCAGAUUGAAAGGAGAGUAAUUUAAUCUAAGCAUGUCCAGACCUGGUGAAGGGGAGUAUGAACCUCUUGCUGACAGGCCCCUGUUUGGGGAGGCAAGGCCAAGGGAUAGGAUGAUGAAUAUAAUGAUAAUCUUCAUUACAACAUUAUUGGUGUUGAUCACAUCAAUAAGUGCCUUCAUUCCCUGGCCGAGCUUCCUAGACAUUUUCUUCGUGUUCUGCAUAAUUGUCAUUUGCAUAUCACAUCUUACACUGGUAAAGGCAUAUCUUUUAAUGAUAAAUGUUAAUGCAUGAAGGAAGAAAUGGAAGAUUUGAUAGGAUUAUCAUUAGGAUUAUUAUGUCAACACUAUGGAUGUUGUGUGUAAGAUAUUGAUAUAGCCUGUAUUUACUGAGAACCUGUCUCUUGCUAUAGAUUAUAGUCAAUAGGUAGAAAUAGCUUAGGUUUACUUUCUCUCCGUCUGGCAACUGAUGAUAUACUUUAUAUAUUCAAAGCACUUACAGCCACUACCAAAUUACAGUUUCCUUAACCCACUGUUGCUAGUUAAUCACACUGUAUGCUAUUAUUUUCUUUUGUUAAUUAUAUUUGUACAUAGAUGGCUCCACAAGUACUCUGCCACCAAAUCAGUAAGCCUCUGUGUCCUCAGCAGAUUUUUCCAUUGAUAUAGAUGUUGCAGACAUAAAAAGGUAUAUAUGGGCAUAAGUUUUUGAUCAUGAUAUCAUAGGUUUCUUAGAGUUCACAAAUACUAUUGAAGUAUAUAUACUGCACAGCACUGAAAAGUUCAAUAUAAAUACAAAUAUAAAGUAUUAGAUAUAGGUACUUAUGACAAAUGGUACAAAUCAUGAAAAUCAGAAAAACACUUCCAUAGCACUUUUUACCUCACAAAUAGAGGUUAGA
rnacentral:misc_RNA from 1 species